AGUAACACGUGGAUAAUCUGCCUCUAUGAUGGGGAUAACAGUUGGAAACGACUGCUAAUACCGCAUAAGCCCACGACCUGGCAUCGGGUUGAGGGAAAAGGAGCAAUCCGCUUUGAGAUGGCCUCGCGUCCGAUUAGCUAGUUGGUGAGGUAACGGCCCACCAAGGCAACGAUGGGUAGCCGAUCUGAGAGGAUGAUCGGCCACACUGGAACCGAAACACGGUCCAG
rnacentral:rRNA from 1 species